rnacentral:lncRNA from 13 species
UAACCCUUUAGAACACAAUAGAAUUCUAGAACGGUGCUAUGGGGUUCCUAGAAUGGGUUUUAAAAAGAAGUCUGGAAUGAAAUUGUAAUCGUACAGUGAUCACCAUAGUGAUAAUCACAACAUGCCUGUCAUCAGUAGGAUGUUGGAGAUGAAAUGGGUUCACUUUACUAUAACAUGCUAAACCCAGAGUCAUUCUGUGGCAUGACGAAGCAGUACGCCCCAGCAGACAGUCAUUUAUGGAAACAGACCAUGUGCCCCAUGUGGGCCAGAGAGACGCUGNNNNNNNNNNNNNNNNNNNNNNNNNNNNNNNNNNNNNNNNNNNNNNNNNNNNNNNNNNNNNNNNNNAGGAGAGGAGAGGAGAGGAGAGGAGAGGAGAGGAGAGGGGAGGGGAGGGGAGGGGAGGGGAGAGGGGGAAGGAAGAGAGAGAUAAUCCAAUGAAAUAGUGUCAACAACAGCCCACCCAAAUAGCCCACUAGAAUGAUGAGGAACUCAUACAGUGAUUCUUCAAGCUCUUUGAUCUCUAUACAUCUUACUGCAUGUAUGUGUAAAAAGACACUAGCUUUGUCCCAAUAUCCACACUUAUACCAAUAAGUAAUGUAAGUAUGGGCAUUUUUCAAAUCAGUUGUUGCUUUAUUUGUUCCGCUGUAGCAUCUGCGGCGUAGCACAUGAACAACGCAUAGCUGCUUAUCUAACAGAUCAUUGUAUAAUGUUGUGCGUUUUAUAGCGUCUGCGGCGUAGCCUGCACCCGGGGCUAUUGAGGAGGACCUCCUCUACAUGGACCACCACCACCUCAGCUACGGGCCUGCCCACCAUCGAACCCGGACCAGUACGCAGGGCCAGCAUCAGCAUCAAACCCUUCCACGAACCGCUCGUCUGCAGCUGUGGGAGACCGUACAUAAAGCUGAGCCAUGGGGAGGGAUCCAUGGACAAAGGGGACAGGAUACACCGGACAGAGGAUCAGGUGGUGGCAUCGUCAGACUACGACAGUACCCACGAGGCCAACCACAGCGACAGCAGCGACGUAGCGCCGACAGAGGAGGGGGACGCAGAAGUGGGCAAAAACACCCCCCAAAACCUCAUCAUGCUACCUGCAGAGGUGAGAAACAGCCACAGCAACCAUAGAGGUAGCUCUAGUUUUCUAGAGCCCUAGUUUUCACACUUCUAGGUCUAAAUCUUUUAGGCCAGAGGUAUUCAACCCUUACCCUACGAGGUCCGGGAAUACUGCUGGUUUUCUGUUCCACCUGAUAAUUAAUUGCACCAACCUUGUGUCCCAGGUGUAAUUCAGUCCACGAUUACAGGUGAAUAAUGAUCAAAUACAGUGGAGCUGGCUGUCUAGAUUUGGAUUUGAGGGUUAUUAUUGGCUUAUUCCUCAGGCAGAGGCACAACCACCUCAGAAGACAAAAAAUCAUUUCUUAACAACAUGACAUUCAGUGCACAGAUUGGCACCACCAGCUGUCUAUAUCUGACCCCCUUAUGACAUGUGUAUGUCCUACAGUAGAUUGGCACAGNNNNNNNNNNUAGGAAACCAUGCUAAUUUUAAUGGGUGGACAGCCCAGUUGGAAACCAGUAAACUGUCUGACCAACUGACAGCUGGAGCCACAGACAACAAACUCAUUUUUUCAACACUUGUUUGUGUGUGUGGGGGGGGUUAUUCAUAUUUGCUCCUUCACUGAAGUCAUGUUGAAUUUCAGCAUUUUCAGUUUGUUUUGUGGUAUGAGUUUGCUUAGAGAUUACAGAGAUUGUUGGAUGGAACAGUCUGACCAAGCAAUACGAGAGAGAGAAUGAGAGCGAGAGAGAGAGAAAGA